UCUCAGAUGCUGCAGACUUUGCCUGGGACCUGUGUGAGUCUGAGCCCUAAGCCCGGGAGAGCCAUGGUCCCUGUGGGGUCCUGCGGCUGGCAGACAGUAGCAGUGGAGUGGAGGAGGGCUACCUGUCCACCCUCCGUACCCACUCUCCUCCCAGCCAUGUGCUUGGACCACGGCUGCCCUGGGCCAGACACACUCUGCUAGGCAGAAGAGCCCAAAACAGUUGCGAAUGCCAUUUCCCUCCCCCCAACAAGGAAAUGAUGCGCUUGAAAGGAAGCCGUGUAAGGAGUGGAUGAGGUCCAGGUGUUUUCCUGGAAGCUCGGAGCCUGCCGUGGCCCUGCCGUGGCCCCUGCCCUCCCUUUGCCGCCGGUUCCCUCCUCUGGACUCGCCCCACUCAGAAGCAGCCGCUCGCGGACCUGACCAUACCCCUUUCUGGAAAGUACUGCUGCGGCUGUUAGGUCGACCCCAUCGCUCACCGUCUCUUGCAGCCAGGAAUGGCCACGUGACCAGGUUUAGCCAAAGGAAUGUGAGUACCGUUUGCGCGCCUGGCCCUCCCCCAACACGAGCUUGGUUCAGGGGGGUGCCAGAGAGUUCUGGAGCUCAGCGGAGAGUUACUUGUGCACUUUCAUAGCCGCCAGCCAGCCACGAUGCAGCUGCUCACGGGGUCAUUGGGUUGUGCUUCUAGAAGCUGCUGUCAAGG